UACAGGGGGGGCAAGCGUUGUUCGGAAUUACUGGGCGUAAAGGGCUCGUAGGCGGCCAACUAAGUCCGACGUGAAAUCCCCAGGCUUAACCUGGGAACUGCGUCGGAUACUGGAUGGCUUGAAUUCGGGAGAGGGAUGCAGAAUUCCCGGUGUAGCGGUGAAAUGCGCAGAUAUCGGGAAGAACACCCGUGGCGAAGGCGGCACUCUGGGACGGUACUGACGCUGAGACGCGAAAGCGUGGGGAGCGAACAGG
rnacentral:rRNA from 1 species